GCGAAGCCCUUUUCCCUAUUCCUGGAGCUGUGUUCCACCUGCCGCCUGGCACUCAGGCCCCACCCUUCCUGCUCUUGGUGCCUCAAGUAGUCUCCACCAACCCUGUGGUGUGGCCAGCCCCAUGCUGCUCAAGCUGCAGCAAAAGAGGAAGCAGACACUGCUCUCAAGAGUGUUGCAGCUUGAUCGGUAAAACAGCUACUUCUGUUGAAGAAUCUACCAGCCAUCGUGCCUCUUUGGGUACCUAUAGUCUUCCAUUUAUUUGAUAAUAAUAAACACAAACUUCAAGAGGAUGGUUUCUUCUUGGAGGGUGGGUGGGAAGAUCGGGGAGAGAAGAGGGUAAGAGCAUACAUUCUAAACUUUUGGGUUUUUAGAUUGGGUGGUCAGUUAAUGGAAAUUCAUUACAUUAUUGAAAAUAAAUUAUAAUUAAACAAUUAAAGAAAGCCAUGAUGGGUCAGUGAUGGCACUAGAGUACGAACCAAAGAUUAUGGUUCAGUUCUGAGCACUGCAAGAAAUUAUUACAAAGACAAAGAGCAUUUGCUGCACGCCAGGCAGGGUCCUAAGUGCUUUUGGUGAGGUGAGAUGGCAGAAUGAAGAGAGACUAGUCCUUGGCCUGGGGUGGGGGGUUGCUCUAUAGAGAGGUGAGGUCUGAACUGGGCUUCGAAGAAUGAUCAGAAAUCCUGGGCUAGAAGAGGAGGGAUUUGGGGUACUGGGCAGUGUUCAGAAGUGUUUGGGGGGCCCCUGUGGCCUGCCUCAUUUCUACCUAUUUUGGGCCCCAAGUUGGAGAUUCUUUUAAUCUGGCCGAAGAGCAGGACCAGCCUGGCAGCCAGGAGGCAGGAGACUCCGGCUUUGCAGAGGCCUCCCAGCCUCCCUCUCUACCCCCACUCCAGAGAGAGCAGCAGCAAGGAUGUGGUUCUCCCCAGUUUAGAGACAGAAAAACUGAGGCUUUGCUUUUGAUUAGAACUGAAAGGACCAGCCAAGGUCACCCAGACACUGGUGGGGGAUGGUAGUCAGGAACCCCACUCCUAAUUUUCUCCCCGUCUAGGCCUGCCAAGAGUGGUACUCCUGGGGCUCUGGGGCUGGGGGCCUGACCAGGAAUGGCCUGGCUGUGAGCACUGUGCUUUAUCUCCCUUGUGGGCCAACAUGUCCCAGCACAGUGUGUAUGUGUGGAAAGGUCUCAGUGGCUGCUCCCCCAGUCUCUCUAGAGCGCAUCUCCCCCAACCUCUCAGGCCUGCUUAGUCUAGGAGGCUAGGGCAGCAGGUUCAGGGGGUGGGGAGCCAUUGCUCCUUCUCUAGCAGCAGGACUGAAGAUGCAAGCCAGGUGCCUAGGAAGCAAACUUUAAUGAAGCACUCAUUCUCAGGGCUGUGCGAGCGCUCCGCUCCCGACACAGAGCCUCACAUUUUGUGCCCUGGCCACCUUGCCUGCCUCACUGUGGUCCUUGCCCUGCCCUGCAGCUCUGCCUCAGUCCCCGGGGCUCGGGGCUCUCACCCAGCUACCCUCCUUGGCAUCUGAGCUUUCUGCCUCUGCAGCCACGCCCCUGCCAUCUUCCUGCCUGGGAAGAUAAUGCGAUUGGGCACUGGUUCCAGGCCGUCUGGCUCCAGGGUGCAAGUGGGCCCUGUGCACUCAGCAGCCACCAGUAGGGCCCUUCUACCUCCUGACUUGCUGGUUGUUCACCUCCCCAGACCAAGGACCCCUGAGACACCAGCUCCUGUGCCUGUCCUAACCUCCCCCGAGAGCUGCUUCCUCCUUGCCUGUGAGAAGGCCUUAGCAGCAUGAGCCCAGCUGCUCUACCUUCUCCUCCCCUUCCUCCAGCAAGGUGAGCUCUAUAUCCCCAGCCCAGAGAAGUGGGCUUGCUCCUCAAAUGUCCAGGGGCCAGCCCCAAGCUGUGAUGAUUCAGGGAGAUUCCAGGGUGAGGGAGAGCAGGGAAUGAUUAAUCUCACAGCUAAUAGAUAACUGUGCCCACCCCCUACCCACAGGAGACAGCACUUGGAGCUAUAUCACUAGGAGGGGCCAGGGGUUAAAUGUGGCCACUAGAGAGCCCAUAGUUCUGGGAGGGGCAAGCCCCUGAGGCUGGAUCUGGGGCUGGCUCUUGGGGAAGGAGGGAUCUUGCUGGCUGGACAGCAAGAAGAAUCUGGGUAGACAGAUGUGGCUCAUAGUCAGCCCUGCUUCCUCAUGCCAUGUCUGGGGCCUGGAGUCUGAGGAAGCAGCCUGUGAGGACAAACUACCCAUGCAAUGAGACUCAGGGGAGUGUGUCUGUCUUCCAGAGACGCCCCCGCCUCCUGACUUGGCCUUUCCUUCCCUGUGAGUCCUGUCCCACCCCCACAUUUGGGCAGCUGAGUUGGAUGAGGUGGGAAAUGUAGGCAGUGUGAUUUUGUAGCAAAUGGCAGCUCAAAGCUGUGUGAUCUUGGGCAAAAUGUUAACCCUUUCUGAGCUUUGGUUCCCAUCCUUAUUCAGUGAGGCAAUCAGGGCUGCUCUGUGGGCUGAAUGAGACCACGCAGGUAAAGCUCUUAACACGGAUGGUUAUGAGCUCCAGGCAUGCUCGCUUUUCCCUGCUAACCAACCUUGGGCUUGGCAAGUUCUCUCUAGUGCAGCUCUGGGUGGCAGUGACUUCAGUUUAAACCCAGCUCAGCACCUUAAGGGGUGGGGUGUGAACUGGCCUCAAGGGGCCCAGUUAGAGCCCUUGUGGAAGCACAGGGCAAAGCCAGCUCUCCAAUCUCUCUGCAGAAACUCCUGAGGCUGAGCCUCAUAACUUAUAUGAGGUCAGAGCAGCCCUCGAAGGUCCUGGCCAGCAGCCGGUGGAUUCAGAGCGGGGAGCCCUCUCAGAGUUUUCCAUCCUUCAGCCAACAAGUGAAGACCUGCUGUCUACACCACUGGGGCCGAGGGAGUGAACUUGCAGCUCCAGAAGCAGCACACACACAGGAGGUGUUGCUGUGGACCAGGAGGACUGCACACACGUUCAGAGCAGGAGAUAAAGGGGUCGAGGAAGGCCUCCGGGAUGAAGGGCCUUGAGCAGGACCCUGAGAACACAUUGGAUUUAGGACCCUGGCUGAUAUACCUGCUGUGUGAGCCCCUCUCCAUGGCCCAAUCUCUCGCCCCGCCUGAUGUCCUGGUAUUACUGCUGUCAUCGUCACCACCAGCCCCUUCACACCCCCAACUUUUAGUGAG
rnacentral:lncRNA from 1 species